ACUCCUACGGGAGGCAGCAGUGGGGAAUAUUGCACAAUGGGGGGAAACCCUGAUGCAGCCAUGCCGCGUGUGUGAAGAAGGCCUUCGGGUUGUAAAGCACUUUCAGUAGGGAGGAAGGUAGUGUAGUUAACACCUGCACUAUUUUGACGUUUACCUACAGAAGAAGCACCGGCUAACUCCGUGCCAGCAGCCGCGGUAAUACGGAGGGUGCGAGCGUUAAUCGGAAUUACUGGGCGUAAAGCGCAUGCAGGCGGCCUGUUAAGUCAGAUGUGAAAGCCCCGGGCUCAACCUGGGGAACUGCAUUUCGAAACUGGCAGACUAGAGUCUUGUAGAGGGGGGUAGAAUUCCAGGUGUAGCGGUGAAAUGCGUAGAGAUCUGGAGGAAUACCGGUGGCGAAGGCGGCCCCCUGGACAAAGACUGACGCUCAGGCACGAAAGCGUGGGGAGCAAACAGGAUUAGAUACCCUGGUAGGCUC
rnacentral:rRNA from 1 species